CGGAAUCCACUCCGGCGGUUUCCACUGUGUGUCCCUUUCUUGGACUCGAAGCACGAACCCGACGUGAUGACAUUCGCUGUGCGAGCUUUAGUUGGAGCGGUCUUUCGUCCGCUUCCACGAAAGGCUUGCACCCGCUUUCCCACGUAAAACCUCGGUCUGUCCGCUCCGGCAUCUCAUCUCCCCAUCGCCUCCGUCCGGUCGCUUUCUCCCU
rnacentral:lncRNA from 1 species